rnacentral:pre_miRNA from 1 species
AAUAAGUGCAGUUUUGCACUAUUCAUGUUCAACGUUUGACCGUCCGUCUUAUUUGAAAAUUUUUUAUAAUUAGUAUUUUUAUUGCUAUUAGAUGAUAAAACAUGAAUAGUACUUUAUGUGUGACUAAAUGUUUUUAAUUUUUUCACAAAUUUUUCAAAUAAGACGGACGGUCAAACGUUGAACAUGAAUAGUACAAAACUGCACUUAUU